AAAGGAAUUGACGGGGGCCCGCACAAGCAGUGGAGUAUGUGGUUUAAUUCGAAGCAACGCGAAGAACCUUACCAGGGCUUGACAUCUACCGAAUUUCAAGAGAUUGAAAGUGCCUUUUAGGAGCGGUAAGACAGGUGGUGCAUGGUUGUCGUCAGCUCGUGUCGUGAGAUGUUGGGUUAAGUCCCGCAACGAGCGCAACCCUUAUUGUUAGUUGCCAUCAUUUAGUUGGGCACUCUAACGAGACUGCCGGUGACAAAUCGGAGGAAGGUGGGGACGACGUCAAAUCAUCAUGCCCCUUAUGUCCUGGGCUACACACGUACUACAAUGGUCGUUAACAACGGGAAGCUAAGCCGCGAGGUGGAGCAAAUCCCCAAAAACGGUCUCAGUUCGGAUUGCAGGCUGAAACCCGCCUGCAUGAAGUCGGAAUUGCUAGUAAUCGCAAAUCAGCAUGUUGCGGUGAAUACGUUCCCGGGCCUUGUACACACCGCCCGU
rnacentral:rRNA from 1 species